UCGGGGUAGCUCAGUUGGUAGAGCAGAGGACUGAAAAUCCUCGUGUCACCA
rnacentral:tRNA from 1 species